AGACUUUGCUGCUCUAUUGCCAAACUACUCAUAUCCCCCUGUUACUGUGAAACUUGGUGAAAUUCCUCAGGGAUUUUGAGACAUCAAAGCAACCGAAUUUUGCUCUUGUUGCCCAGGCUGGAGUGCAGUGGCACGAUCUUGACUAACGGCAACCUCCACUCCCGGGUUCAAGCGAUUCUCCUGCCUCAGCCUUCCUGAGUAGCUGGGAUUACAGGCAUGCGCCACCACGCCCGGCUAAUUUUGCAUUUUUAGUAUAGACGGAGUUUCUCCAUGUUGGUUAGGCUGGUCUCGAACUCCCGACCUCAGAUGAUCCGUCUGCCUCGGCCUCCCAAAGUUGCUGGGAUUACAGGCGUGAGCCACUGCACCCGGCAAGAAUAUAAUCUUAUCAGAUCAGGACCCAACCCUUGUGACCUCAUUUAACCUUAAAUGCCUUCUUGUAGGGGAAAUUCUCAAAUAUAGUCACACUAGAGGGUCUAGGAUCAAUGGAUGAAUUCUGGGAAAGAAGACACAAGUCAGUCCAUAGAGGGGCCCUAGAAUGUAUAUUACUUAGUUACCCUAAAGUUCUCACUUUGCUCAAAAUAAGACUUUUAUACUGGGAGGAACAAAACUACUUGGAAGUUAAUAAAAAAUAACUUCCAACACAAUAAUUUUUGUUUCCAGAAGAGUACUCUAUAUUCAUUGAGAUAUAUGUGACGUAUGUGAGAGAGAAAUAAUAUGAUCAAUAAAGUAAUUCAAAUAAAAAAUAAAAAUAUCUAUCAUCAGUGAUAGAGAAUAAAUGCAAAUAUUAAAUUUAUACCUUUUUUAAAAAACAGGUAGAGUAAAAUGAUUCAAAGAUAUUUUGUGUCAAAUUGUUUAAUAAAUAUGGCAAUGGGGAUAAAAUAAUUCAUUUCUAUUUCACAUUAAUUUCUCUAAUAUGGAUAAUCCUCUAUUAUUUUAAAUAUCAAACUUUUCACAAAUGAAAGAUUCAAUCUUUAAUUAGAAUUUUAACUUACAAAAAAUACUUUUUUCAGGUAAUAAAUAAAAUUUGGGAGAAAAUAAAGUAUAAUGCCAAGAAACAAAAAGUGUCUACCUUAUUAAUAAAGAAAAUAAAUAAAUGAAAACUUUUCAAACUGAUCGAGCUCAACUUCCUCAUAUACGCACACAAAAAAUAAACAAGAGUAGCUAUUUCCAAACUAAAUAAAUAAUCUACUAAUUCCUAUUCAGUUGUACUCCCUAAAUGUCAAUAAUCACACUAGAUAGAAACAAACAUUGACUCUAGACCAAAAUUGGUGAUAUCACAAAGGUGAUUCUGAUAGAACUAUAUAAUUCUGUUUGAUACAAUGGCUCUACACACCUUAUGUCAGACAGCUAUAUUAUUCAUUGAAAAUGAGAUAUUUAUAUUGUUUGGCAAUAACAAAACAACUAGGCUUCCUAGUUUUUGUUUGCAACUAUGAUUGCAGUUGAUUAUAAAAAAUCAUAUAAUAAUACUAUAUGGAUAUAUAUUUGAAUACAUAUUUAUGUACAGAUGUGGCAUAUGCAGAUAAGAACACAUAGGGACGCCUUCAUACAUUCACACAGUGGCCACGGCAAUCUUUCUGUUCUGAGCACCAAAAACAGUUAUUGGCACACAGUAGGAACUAAAUAAAAUAAGUGAAUGAAUAAAUGACUGAAUAUGUGUAUAUAUCCAAACAGAGAAAUUAAUGCUGAAAAAGAAGAACCAUAAAUCACUUAAUGGAGAGAGAGAGAGAGAUUUGUAUUUGGAGCUUCAAGUGAGACAAGAUGUGUUGAAAUUAGCUAGGGACUCCCUAGAAGAUGGUGAAAGACAAUAAAUAAUAAAUCGAUACAUAAACUUGUUUUCAGUUAUUGAGUGAUCCAGAACUACCACCACCAAAAACAAAUAUUUUUAUUAAGUACAUUCUAUAUACCCAGCACUGUUACAAGUAUUAUGUAUUCAUUAUCAUCUCUAAUCAUGACAACAGUUCAAAGAGAAGAGAUAAGUUACUGGAAUCAUCCCCCCUUUUUACAAAUAAAGAAAUCAAGGCAAGGAGAUGGUAAGUAACAUUUUCACAGUCACAGAGCUACUAAAUAGUAGAACAGUAAUUCAAAGAUUGACAGCCUGACUCUGUAAUCCGGAUUUUUCCCCAUAUAAUUUUUCAUCACAUUGUUAUCGAUUCUUUGCCAAAGAGAAAGCAGGUAUACUAGAGAAGGCAGUAGAAGGUAAAAGGAAAGGCAGGGGCCCUUUUGAAGAUUAAGCAGAUGGUGCAGAGCUGAUUCUAUAAAAACUUAGCAGUCUAACCUUGGGUUAGUAAAUGAACUUUUCUGGAUCUCAGUGUCCUCAUUAGUGAAAUGAAGAUUUUGAGAUAGAACAGUGAAUUAGAUCAUCGGGACCCAAUCUGGAUGAUGAUAAAAGUCAAAAUUCUUGCAUGGCCUGUUAUGCCCUACAUAAUCCUCUCUUCAUACUGCUCUAUGACUUCAUCUUUUCUACCAGGGCUGGCCUCAGAGGUUUGUGACCUGUGCAGUUGCACAAGGGUUGUGCUUUAAAAGUCUCCCUGCUUGGUUUAAUGCUCUGCUGUCAUUAUCUUGAAAUUCUUAAUAAUUUCUGAACAAGGCAUUCUGCAUUUUUAUUUUACAUUGAGUCUACAAAUUAUGUAGCUGGUCCUGCCUAUUACUCUCCACUUUCUCCCUGGCACAACUACCAGCGACUAGCUGGAGUUGUAUAUGUCCCAUAGGGUCUUGGAUUUAGCUGUUCCUUGUUAUUAGAAAUACACCCUCUUUCCCGGAUUCAUUUGACUCAUUAUUUUGCCAUUUUCAGGUCUUCUUUCAAAUUUCAGCUAUUAUGGCAACUAUAACUACCCCAUUCAAUACUACAACCACUCCACCCCAAAACAGCACUAUCAGUUUGCUUUGCUCUGCUUUUAUUUUUCCACAGCAUGCUGCAAUGCCUAACUAUAAUGAAAUAAUUAGCUAAAUACACUUACUUAUGUGUUUUAUGUGUGUGUGUGUGUGUGUGUACACACAUAAUUUGCUUCUUUAUUAUGUUGAUUGUCUCUUCCUUAUACAAUGUUUACAUUUCACUAUGGCUAGGAUCUUUCUUCUCCUCACUGAUUUAUCCCAAGCACUUAAAACAGUGUGAAGUCAAUAGUAAAUAAAUACCAGUUAAAUGGUUAAUAGCUUUAACAGUUUAUAUGAGGAUAAAACAUUGUGUCUAAAAGAAACCUAAUGUCUAAUACAUUACAUGGUCAAAGCAAAGAAAAAUUAUUUAUGUAAUUACUACGUAGGGAAUUCCACACCCCAAAGUUCAUACUCCACAUCCUCUGUGACUCUUGAGACCACAAGACUGCUGGCAAAGGCAAAACAAUCACUUUUACAUUCAUUCCAAUAGAACUAAAAAUGUGAGACUCUUAGGAUAGUCAUAUCUUUUCUCUUGCUUUUCCCUAAUAUCAUCAAUAGUAAAGAUUUUUAAACACAUCACCAAGUAAGCUAGGUGUUUGCUUCAGGAGUACAAGAUUUUGGAAACUUGCAUUCCUAUCUAUAUAGGAAUGGAAAAACCACUCUUAGCAGAAGCAACAGAAAAGUAAUUAAAAGAAAAGCAGAAUUAUUAUUUCCUACAAUCAGCUAAACACAAUAAAUAAAACAGUAAUUAAAAGUAACUAAGUCAGGAAAAUUACCCCGGUACAGUCCACCUGUGGGUGGCUGGGACUCCACACAGGGGAACAUUCCAGUGCCAUGUUUCUUCUCCACCUUGAGGAAGCAAAAAUUAUUCAUGUGUAUGAAAUGAUUAAUGCAUUGAAGUCUUUUAGACUUGACAUUUUCAACCAAAUCCAUCAUUCUGAGCCUUUCUCGUUCUCUAAGAGAGACUCAGAAUGUACAAAAUGUUUGAAAAGCCUGCUUAGACUAAAACAGUAAUUUUCUACUCAAGUUCAGAAAUGAUAAACCCAAGCAUUUCUGAUAAUGACAAACUACAAUACUAUCACAAGUAUUGCUCACCUAAAAACGAGUUUCUGCUUUAGAAAUUUCCUACUAUCAUAUAUAAAUCUAGCUUUGAAUUUACUUCAAAUUAAAGUGGUUAUAUUUAUUAAAAACUUGCAAAAUCACAGUGAUUAUCCACGUUUACCUUCUUUCUUUCUAAAAAUCAUUAGAAUCUUAGCAUUGAUAAAGAUUUCAAAAUUCAAAGACUGUUAGAAUUAUAUUGGUGCUUCUGUUUUAGGUUCACUCAGUGGCUUUCCAUCAUGGUCAUUAUCAUGAAGACCACAAUGUAUUGAAGGAUGAAAACCAACACUGCCUUCCCCCACUCCUGUGGCAGACAUAACUAAGCAAUCAUCAUGUUUUCAAACUCUUUAUCAAAAUAGUGUUCCAGUUAAGACCAAUUAGACAAGGGUUGGCAUAAGAGGAGAGGUAUUUAAAAUAUUUGGUAACUAGUACAGCACAAGUUCUAGUCAGUUAAAAUGGACCUCCAAUCCAUUAGAAGGGACACUAGCUAGUGGACUAGACUGGUGCAUUCCUGCAGAAUUCAGAAUUAAGCGUAAGAUAUACAAUCAAUUUUGCUGUCUUUGUUGCAAAGAACCAGAUAAAGGGGUGACUUCUCAAUUUUAUCACUUCUUCUUUACUGCAGUAUGUACACUUGCUGAAAAAAUACUUGCUACAGUGAUACACUAAAUGCAGUGCUUAAUGGCACAGUGACUAUGUUUCAAUAGCACAAAUAACAUAGAUAAACCAGAGUUGCUACUUGCCUUGGCAUACAGUAGUUGUUUAAUACAUUUGCAAAAUGUCUUCAGUUUUACAAUCUAACAUAUAAUGCACAUCCAAAGGACAAAAAAAGUUAAAAUUAUUGUGAUAGAAAUUUGGCUAAAGCAAAACCGUUUUGUCAGGAUUUCAUUUCCAUACUUUACAUCUAUAGUCUCCAAAGUCAACAGACAAAAUAAUGCAAGUUUAAUCUAAUAUUUCAGGCUAGAGUAAAAAAUUGUAGAUUGUCAGAAAGGCAAAACUUUAAACAUUUUCCAGAAUUUAAUAAAUAGUACCUUAGAGAUUAUAUAGCUGUCCUUUCGUAUUAUUUGGUCAACAUUUAAAAAUAUAACAUAAUUGGCCAUAGCAUCUUUCCUUUAGCUAUUUAUAUUACACAGAGUUAUUUUAAAAGCAAAAAUAUAUAUUUUAAAAAAGAGAUUAUGAAAAAUAUGUAGAGAAGUAGGAGAAAAAAAGGAGAAAACAGAAUUAUGGAAGUCCAAGAAAGAGGGUAUUAAAGAGAUAAUUAUUUCAUUUUCUGGCAAUAUGUGACACACUGUAUUCUGGUUUCUGAAGAUAGGGAGGAAAUGAGUUACAAAAGGUCCCUUUCCUACUGCUUACUUUCUCCUGCUGAGAGAUCAACAACAACAACAAAAAGUAAACAUAGACAUCAACAGUUCAGAAAACUUUCAAUGCUGACAUGCCCCAAAGACAGUAAAACAUAGGUAAUGUAAUAGAGGGUGAUGAGAAAUUACUUUAAUAGGGGAAGUCAGGGAAGACGUUGCUAAGGAGUUCACAUCCAAAUGAUGAGAAGCCAUGCACAGACCUGGGGAAUAACUUUUUAGACGGCAGUAAGUACAUAGUCCUUGAAGGAAUGAGGAACUGUACCAAAUGAAACAGAGGCAUCACACAUACUGAGGAGUAAAACAUGACUAGUAAAUUUUGAAAUAAAAAGUUAUGCAUUUUUAUAGCGAUGGGAUUGGAUACGGAUAAAAUUUCAGAAAAUCUAUCAAAGAAAGAAAGAACAACAGUUGGGUGGUAGAUCUGAGCUAACGUACAGCUCAACAACGUGACAGUAUCUCGGUUGGUUGCUCAACAUUUACCAAAAAGAAGACUUAAUGUUCAUAGACUAAAACUAUUUGAACCCAUUUGGUUGAUAAAUCCUAGAAAUGAAAAAAGAGGUACAGAGAAAGUGAAUCUAGACUACUGUUUCUCAACAUGAGAACGAAUAAAAUAAAUUAGUGUAAAAGAGGUUAGCCUUACUCCAUAUAUAUUACCAUGAAAGUCCCUAAAAACUGAUCAUGAGAGCUUCCGCAACUUUAUCAGUUUUCCCAUGGUUAACAUAUUUAUUGCAUUUUCCUGAAGCAAACUAGGAAUAAAACUAUUAUAAGACACAAAAUAAAUAAUCAACAACCAUGCUAGCUGAUUGCUCCCGAGAUAAGGGUCCUAGAAUGAAAUUGUGAAAGUCAAUCAUCUCUCUCCUAUGGUAUGGGUAGAGGGCAAUGGAGAGACAUCGUUGCUGUGUUGAAAGUCCAGGCAGAGGGCUUGUGAGCCAGUCAGUCCCAGUUGCUUGAGGAGCAGGAUGGAAGGUCAAUAGCUAUUUUGCAAAAUAUUCCAGGAGCCAGAAGUAUCCCAGGAAGGUUUAUAUUUCAAAAUAACUUGAGAGAAGUUUUAAAAUUACCUUCCCUCUUGAUUUUCCAUUAGUUCUGUGGAGAAGGUAACUUUAUCUUCCCAUUUCAGACCUUGGGAAAUCUGAAGGAAAUUCCCUGCCCCUUUCAAUAUUAUGAUUAAAUUUUGAGUAGCUUCUGUGGCCGUAGAUGAAAGAGGUAGGGGACCUGAAGUGGGCACUGAGCACACUCUCACUUUCUAACACUACAGAGCAGUGUUCUUGGCUCUGUCCAUUCCACCCUAAUAUUGUGGCCAUGCUGUAAUUGGCAAUCUAGUCCAUUGCUUUUAGUUGAACGCUGGGCAGCUGUAUGCUAGUAAAAUGGUUCUUGGGUUAAAAAAAAAAAAAAAAAAAAAAAAAAAGUCCUGAUGUGUAGCAUUUGCAAAUUUCUAUGGUUUAAAGAUUUUCAUUAUAAUUUAUUUCAAAUGACCAACAGGGCACUGUUUCCUGAGGAACUGUGGGAGAGAUCAUGAGAAUUGGGAAAGAUGCAAAAAAUAAACUAACUAGCUGAAAUAAACUGGUUUGUGCUGGCGUGUGUGUGUGCGUGCGUGUGUGUGUGUGUGUGUGUGUGUUUCCUUCUAAAGUGGUAGAACAAAACACUAGUAGGGGUUUUGGCAGGUAGCUGAAAACAGAAAACAGUUAUGCAUUAGAGAUAGGGGUUAAAGCUUGUCCUUAAUUAGGCCUUGGUCCAAAGAGAAGUCUCUCUAAAAGCAGAUAAUAGCAAGAAAGAGAUAAUGGCAAAAGGUGGUUCAUAGGAAACUCCAGUUAUUAGAAAAUUGAGUAUAGUGUGUGUGUGUGCGUGUGUGUGUGUGUGUGUGUGUGUUAUGGAAAGGAUUAAACCAUACAGAACUGUUAUGGCAGGAUAUAAAAAUAAAACAAAACAAAUACUUAACCAUUCAUGUCCCCUGUGCUAGACAUUUUGCUAAGCAGAUUGAAUCAAUUGUUCCAGUCUAUCUUACAGAACACUAAUAUUCGGUAGAUAUUUUUAUAGAUGAGGAAACUAGAGCUUAGAUAUUUAAAUAAUUUGUUAGUUUUUAUAGCAGUAUCAAGCCAAGCAAUUUUAAAUGCCAGUUUCUCCUAUUAUAUUGCCAGCUGCAUGCAGCAGGGUCCGAGGCUUUCUUAUUUACCACUGUGUCCCCUGCGAUUAAUGUAUAAAAGGUACUCAAAAUGUAUUUGCUGAAAGUUGAAUGUUUCUUGUUAUAUUAGUGAGACCAAGCUGGCUAUAUUCUAUAUUAGUCAGUUAAUCUUUUAGUAUCAAAUUAAAAUAUAAGGAAUAACAAAUUAAUAUUCACAGGACACUUUAUUUAAUAAAUGAUACUCAACUUAUUGAGGUAAGUGUAUUGAAGGAGUUGCAAAUUCAUUCAAGAGAAUUCUUCCUGGAGACUGUGAAACUAAUAUGACAGCAUUUUCUUGGACUAAUGUGUUUAAACAGUGCGGAAACCUAAGAAUCAACUUUUCCACAGAUCUCUCUAGUUCUGGAAAGACUGAAUUUGCAGCAUCUGCUGAAAUGAGGUAAGUGUUAUUUGUAAACAAAAUACUUAAAUACAGGCAUUUUGUAUAAAUUAAAACAUGUAUCUGCUAAGAAAAUUACAUUAUCACUUAACUUUGCAAGUAGUUUGCCUAAAUCAAAUCAGAAAUAAAAACGAAAACACUGGCAUUUUCUGUCAAAUGGUAAUUACGGUGACUAAAAGUCUUUAGAAAUAACUUUAAGUCAAAUUAAAAAUCUGCAUCCAGGGCCGGGCGCGGUGGCUCAUGCCUGUAAUCCCAGCAUUUUGGGAGGCUGAGGUGGGCGGAUCACGAGGUCAGGAGUUCAAGACCAGCCUGGCCAACAUGGUGAAACCCCAUCUCUACUAAAAAUACAAAAAUUUGCUGGGCAUGGGGGCGCGUGCCUGUAAUCCCAGCUACUUGGGAGGCUGAGGCAAGAGAAUCACAUGAACCCAGGAGGCAGAGGUUGCAGUGAGCCAAGACCUCCCCACUGCACUCUAGCCUGGUGACAGAGUGAGACUCUGUCUCAAGAAAAAAAAAAAAAAAAAAAAAAUUCAGCAUCCAGAUACUUUCUCACUAAAAAUGCCACAUGUGUUGUAAUCAAGUGGGGAAAAUGAAAACAGUCCACUGCACUUUAACCACCUAGUUGAAUUUAGCUACCUAUGCUUUAAAACUAUUAUUUCAUAAAAUAGGCUUCUGUUCUCUUUCACGGGUAGAAAACGUACUCUCUCUAACAAAUAUUUAACUAUGUACAAUAUGUUGUGUUAGAUCAUGGUUUUUGUAAAUGGUCCUGUCUAAAUUUUAAAUACAGGGAAAAUAUAUAUCUUCUUAAAUAUGUAGAAACUAGCCCCAUGGUUAUUAUUCUCAAAUAUGAAAGAAGUAAUUAAGGGCUGAGUACAGUGGCUCACACCUGGAAUCCCAGCACUUUGGGAGGCCGAGGUGGGUGGAUCCCCUGAGGUCAGGAGUUCCAGACCAGCAUGGUGAACAUGUUGAAACCCCAUCCCUACUAAAAAUACAAAAAUUAGCUGGGCAUGGUGGCACAUGCCUGUAGUCCUAGUUACUGGGGAGGCUAAGGUAGGAGAAUUGCUUGAAGCAGGGAGGCAGAGGUUACAGUGAGCCGAGGUUGCACCACUGCACUCCAGCCUGGGCAAAACUCCGUCUUAAAAACAAACAAUAAUAAAAUGAAUUUUUUUUAAAAAAUGAAAGAAGCAAUUAUGGAAUUGUUUUGUUAACUUGGUUAGUGAACAGAGCUCAUAAAAUGAGAAACAGAAGGUCACACUGGACCAAGGGACUGUAUGCAGAUUUAAAAAAAAUGAAUAACAGCUGCAUUCACAGUCAUUUAUCUCACACUUGUGCACUGUUGCCAAAAGAUGGAUUUUUACAAUAGAAAAAUAAGGGAGACUAAUAAUAUCCAAAGCCACUGUCACCAUUAAAAAACUUCAAACCUGGGCCUGGCACAGUGGCUCAUGCCUGUAAUCCUAGCACUUUGUGAGGCCAAGGCAGGUGGAUCACCUGAGGUCGGGAGUUCCAGUUCGAGACCAGCCUGACCAACAUGGAGAAACCCCGUCUCCACUAAAAAUACAAAAUUAGCCACCGGGCCCGGUUAAUUUUUUGUAUUUUUUUAGUAGAGACAGGGUUUCACUGUGUUGGUCAGGCUAGUCUCGAACUCCUAACCUCAGGUGAUCCACCCGCCUCGGCCUCCAAUGUGCUGGGAUUACGGCCUCCCCAAAGUGCUGCUAUUACAGGCAUGAGCCACAGUGCCCGGCCAGUAUUCCUUUUAAACCAAGGCAAACAAAUUGUUAUUGAAGGGUUCAUCUCCCAUGUUUCCCUUAUUAUGCAGUAAGUCCGGAGUAUAAAGGAGUCAUAGAAAUUUAAUUUUCCAGAUCCAGUGAAUCUCCCCAUUAUACAGUAAGACCAACAAAUACAUGCUCCCAUAAGGGCCUCGGAGAAGCUGCACAGUGAUAGGAUAUCUCUUUCCUUGGUCAGUGUGGAAACUGUACAAUAUGAAAGUGCACGGGCAUUGAGGGAGGGUUUUUGUGGUGAACCCGUAUCUAAGGAACUUAUUUAAAUAAAUUAGUUGAUUUAACCUUAUUCUACCUUCAAUCCACUGGGCCAGCGGGUUAUUACAGAGGGCCAUGCUAAGGAAAUAAGGAUACAAGUUGUAGUUUCAUGAGUUUUGCGUAUCUCCUUCUUCAAGGAAUAAUCAAUGUUCACCAGCGGAAAUUGAAAAGCAAAGAGAUGGGGAAGAUUCCAAGGAUCCACUCAAGUUCCUGGUGUUUUUGUGAAUGUUCUGUGUUUAAGACAUGCUUUUGUUUAGGAGAAGACAUGAGCUGAGCCAACUGGGAUAAAGAAGAGGUUGAAAAUGCGUAUGGCUUAGACAGAGUAAAGAGUUUUAGAUAAAAUAUCGGGGUAACUUUUAGAGUCUUGGCUUAAGGCCAAAGCUUCUGAAUCAAGGAAAGAGUGACAGUUGCCUUCCUCUAUUUUUAUUAAUAUACAGGUGUGUUACCAUUAUUACCUGCCAGAAAGAGCAUAAUAUUAAUCCAAUCAAAUUAUAUGAGUCCUACAGUAGAAAUAUUGCAGACAUUUAAUAUUAUAUUGAAGUUUAAUUAAUGGUAAGACAUUUCAAGGUGGUAAUAGUUAUAUGCAGCUCUUUGGCUAAAAGUCAAAGUGUGAUAUAUACAGAAUAGAAACGAUGCUGGACUGCCAGAAAAUCUGCCUCUCCCUCCCACUCCCCCAAGAUCUAUUAGGAACGAGCAUUUACUGUUAUUAUUUCAAAUAUUUAUGCAAAGUAAUUUUAAAUGAUUUAAACAUUCCAUAUAUCAAUCAAAGUUAAUAAUAAGUUAGAUUCUGAAACAUUUGUGCCAUUAACAACAGUCAGAAAGAUAACAUUAUUUCAUUGGUAUUAAAUGAGGCAAUCAACAGUUUGAUGGAAAAAAAAAAAAAACUAAGUGUAUUUUUUAAAAUUACACUUUUACAUAGAGUUAGAAAACUAGUCCAUAGAAAGGAAACUGUUGACCAAUUACACGUUGUUAUAUCUAACUUGUAUAUUGUUCUUACUAUAGGCUAUGCUCUGUCCUCCUAGAUUUACAUAUAUUUGUAAUUUUUUCUCACAACAACCUUAUGAGUUGGAACUAUUAUUGACUCCAAUACAGAGAUGAGGAAAUCAGCCCGUUUCCUCCCAACGGUUAAGUAACAGUGGUUAACUGGGGAGCUGAGAUUUAAAACUAGUCCAUGUGGCUCUAGAAGCCUUGCACUUAACCACAAUGCCAAAAAAAAAAACUGCAUCAUAAAUCUGCUGACCCAGAAAAGGUGAAGAACUAAUACACACCUGGCUUAUCACAUGUGUUUUCCAUCAUGAAAGUAGGGGCGCUGUGUUUCAAAUCUUAAAUGUGUUAAUAAUCAUAUCAAUUUUCCACUUAAUUUCUUUUGUGUGUGCACAAUCUCAAAACACAACCCUCUCCAUUUCUUUCCCUUUCUCUAUAUCAGUGUAUUAAAUUUUGCCUCUCCAAAGCUGUAGAAUGAAAUAGACUUGCACUAUAUGGACAGAGCAAAAUGUGAAUGACUCAGUCACACAUUCAACACCUUUGAAUUAAAUUUUUCUAACAUGUUUUCACUUUCAAAAUAUGACAAGAAAAGGGUCAGGAGGGCCACAUCUUCCUUCUCUUUCCUGGCACUUCCACACUGAAAAGAUUUAAUGGUUACUUUUGUAUGUUGCAUCUUGACAGUUAGUUCAAUUUAGAUGAAAGCUGUUAUUUUCUAAUUCCAUCUCACUGUAAAUGACAGAGACAAAUGGUCAUAUUACCUUGAGAGUUCCUUUGGCAGAAUAG
rnacentral:lncRNA from 10 species